rnacentral:rRNA from 1 species
GAUGAACGCUGGCGGCGUGCUUAACACAUGCAAGUCGAACGGAAAGGCCCAAGCUUGCUUGGGUCCUCGAGUGGCGACCUGGUGAGUAACACGUGGGUGAUCUGCCAUGCACUUCGGGAUAUGCCUGGGAAACUGGGUCUCAUACCGGAUAGGACCACUUCUCGGAUGUUGUGGUGGAAAGUUUUUUCGUUGUUGGAUGAGCUCGCGGCCUAGCAGGUUGUUGGUGGGGUAAUGGCCUACCAAGGCGUCGGCGGGUAGCCGGCCUGGGAAGGGGUACGGCAACAGUGAGACUGAGACACGGCCAAGACUCCGACGGGUGGCAGAAGUGGGGAAGAUUGCACAAGGGGCGCAAGCCUGAUGCAGAGACGCCGCGGGGGGGAGGACGGCCUUCGGGUUGUAGUCGCCAUUCGCUAGGGACGAGGCGGUUUAUGACGGUACCUGGAGAAGAAGCACCGGCUAACUACGUG